rnacentral:rRNA from 1 species
UACGAAGGGGGCUAGCGUUGUUCGGAAUUACUGGGCGUAAAGCGAGUGUAGGUGGUUGUCCAAGUUGGAUGUGAAAGCCUUGAGCUCAACUCAAGAAAUGCAUUCAGGACUGGGCGGCUAGAGGACCGGAGAGGAUAGUGGAAUUCCCAGUGUAGUGGUGAAAUACGUAGAGAUUGGGAAGAACACCAGUGGCGAAGGCGGCUAUCUGGACGGUUUCUGACACUAAGACUCGAAAGCGUAGGGAGCAAACAGG